rnacentral:rRNA from 1 species
GUUGUCCGGAUUUAUUGGGCGUAAAGAGCUCGUAGGCGGUUCUGUAAGUCGGAUGUGAAAACUCAGGGCUCAACCCUGAGACGCCAUCUGAUACUGCAGUGACUAGAGUCCGGUAGAGGAAGAUGGAAUUCCUGGUGUAGCGGUGGAAUGCGCAGAUAUCAGGAGGAACACCAAUGGCGAAGGCAGUCUUCUGGGCCGGUACUGACGCUGAGGAGCGAAAGCAUGGGGAGCAAACAGGAUUAGAUACCCUGGUAGUCCAUGCCGUAAACGUUGGGCACUAGGUGUGGGGUCUUCUAACGGAUUCCGUGCCGUAGCUAACGCAUUAAGUGCCCCGCCUGGGGAGUACGGCCGCAAGGCUAAAACUCAAAGGAAUUGACGGGGGCCCGCACAAGCGGCGGAGCAUGUUGCUUAAUUCGAGGCAACGCGAAGAACCUUACCUGGGUUUGACAUGUACCGAAAAGCCAUAGAGAUAUGGUGUCCUUCGGGGCGGUACACAGGUGGUGCAUGGCU